rnacentral:tRNA from 1 species
AGGGGCAUGGUGAAAAGGUAUCACAACGGUCUCCAAAACCGUUUUUGAGGGUUCGAAUCCUUCUGCCCCUGCCA